rnacentral:rRNA from 2 species
GAAGCGGUACCGACGAGGAGCCGUGGACAUUUAAGAAGAGAGAAUGCCGGAAUGAGUAGCGAGAUGGAGGUGGGAAUCCUCCAGGCCGAAUAUCCAAGGUUUCCAGAGUAAAGCUGAUCUGCUCUGGGUAAGUCGGGGCCUAAGGCGAGGCUGGGAGGCGUAGCCGAUGGACAACAGGUUGAGAUUCCUGUACCGUGUAUCAUCAGAACUGUGGGGACACAGAAGGACAGCACAUCCCGGGAAUGGGAAUACCGGGGCAAGCGGGGUAGGAGUACGGCUGGCAAAUCCGCCGUACAAUCCGAAGACGUGAUGCGGAGCGAACUGAAGUAGCGAAGUGUGUGAUUCCAGCUGUCAAGAAAAGCCGCUAUCGUGUGAUACACGCCCGUACCGUAAACCGACACAGGUGGAUGAGGAGAGAAUCCUAAGGCCGGCGGGAGAAGCAUUGUUAAGGAACUCGGCAAAAUGACCCCGUAACUUCGGGAGAAGGGGUGCCCAUGAAAGUGGGCCGCAGAGAAUAGGCUCAAGCAACUGUUUAGCAAAAACACAGGUCUAUGCAAAACCGUAAGGUGAGGUAUAUGGGCUGACGCCUGCCCGGUGCUGGAAGGUUAAGAGGAGAGGUCAGCGGAAACGCGAAGCUUUGAAUUUAAGCCCCAGUAAACGGCGGCCGUAACUAUAACGGUCCUAAGGUAGCGAAAUUCCUUGUCGGGUAAGUUCCGACCCGCACGAAAGGCGUAAUGAUUUGAGCGCUGUCUCGACAAUGCACCCGGUGAAAUUGAAAUACCAGUGAAGAUGCUGGUUACCUGCGCCAGGACGGAAAGACCCCAUGGAGCUUUACUCCAGCUUGAUACUGGGAUCCGGUAUUGCAUGUACAGGAUAGGUGGGAGGCUGUGAAUCAUGGACGCCAGUCUGUGAGGAGCCGCUGUUGGGAUACCACCCUUGCGGUAUUGGGUUUCUAACCUGCGCCCAUGACCUGGGCGGGGGACAAUGUCAGGUGGGGAGUUUGACUGGGGCGGUCGCCUCCGAAAGGGUAUCGGAGGCGCUCAAAGGUUCCCUCAGGAUGGUUGGAAACCAUCCAGAGAGUGCAAAGGCAUAAGGGGGCUUGACUGCGAGACUGACGGGUCGAGCAGGUACGAAAGUAGGACUUAGUGAUCCGGUGGUAUGAAAGUGGGAUUGCCAUCGCUCAACGGAUAAAAGCUACCCUGGGGAUAACAGGCUUAUCACUCCCAAGAGUUCACAUCGACGGAGUGGUUUGGCACCUCGAUGUCGGCUCAUCGCAUCCUGGGGCUGUAGCAGGUCCCAAGGGUUGGGCUGUUCGCCCAUUAAAGCGGUACGCGAGCUGGGUUCAGAACGUCGUGAGACAGUUCGGUCCCUAUCCGGCGCGGGCGUAGGAUAUCUGAGAGGAGCUGUCCUUAGUACGAGAGGACCGGGAUGGACAGACCGCUGGUGCAUCUGUUGGCAUACCAAUGCCAUGGCAGAGUAGCCAAGUCUGGACGGGAUAAACGCUGAAGGCAUCUAAGCGUGAAGCCCCCCUCAAGAUGAGAUAUCCCAUGCGUAGGCAGUAAGACCCCUUGUAGACGACGAGGUGGAUAGGUUAGAGGUGGAAGUGCAGCAAUGUACGGAGCUGACUAAUACUAAUCGGUCGAGGGCUUAACCAGAA